rnacentral:rRNA from 1 species
AUUGAACGCUGGCGGCGUGCUUAACACAUGCAAGUCGAUCGGUAACGCGGGGGCAACCCUGGCGACGAGAGGCGGACGGGUGAGGAACGCUUGGGAAUCUGCCUAUCAGCGGGGGACAACACGGGGAAACUCGUGCUAAUACCGCAUACGCUCUACGGAGGAAAGCCGGGGACCGCAAGGCCUGGCACUGAUAGAUGAGCCCAAGCCGGAUUAGCUAGUUGGCGGGGUAACGGCCCACCAAGGCGACGAUCCGUAGCUGGUCUGAGAGGACGAUCAGCCAACCGGGAACUGGGACACGGGCCAGACUCCUACGGGAGGCAGCAGUGAGGAAUAUUGGACAAUGGGGGAAACCCUGAUCCAGCGACGCCGCGUGGGUGAAGAAGGCCUGCGGGUUGUAAAGCCCUUUCGGUGGGGACGAAAGCUCUCGACCUAAUACGUCGGGAGGUUGACUUAACCUACAGAAGAAGCACCGGCUAACUCUGUGCCAGCCGCCGCCGUAAUAC